GUGGGGAAUCUUGCGCAAUGGGCGAAAGCCUGACGCAGCCAUGCCGCGUGAAUGAUGAAGGUCUUAGGAUUGUAAAAUUCUUUCACCGGGGACGAUAAUGACGGUACCCGGAGAAGAAGCUCCGGCUAACUUCGUGCCAGCAGCCGCGGUAAUACGAAGGGGGCUAGCGUUGCUCGGAAUUACUGGGCGUAAAGGGCGCGUAGGCGGACAGCUUAGUCAGAGGUGAAAGCCCAGGGCUCAACCUUGGAAUUGCCUUUGAUACUGGCUGUCUUGAGUUUGGGAGAGGUGAGUGGAACUCCGAGUGUAGAGGUGAAAUUCGUAGAUAUUCGGAAGAACACCAGUGGCGAAGGCGACUCACUGGCCCAAUACUGACGCUGAGGCGCGAAAGCGUGGGGAGCAAACAGGAUUAGAUACCUUUGUAGUCC
rnacentral:rRNA from 1 species